UUCCGUAGGGGUACCUGCGGAGGGAUCAUUACACAAAUAUGAAGGCGGGCUGGAACCUCUCGGGGUUACAGCCUUGCUGAAUUAUUCACCCUUGUCUUUUGCGUACUUCUUGUUUCCUUGGUGGGUUCGCCCACCACUAGGACAAACAUAAACCUUUUGUAAUUGCAAUCAGCGUCAGUAACAAAUUAAUAAUUACAACUUUCAACAACGGAUCUCUUGGUUCUGGCAUCGAUGAAGAACGCAGCGAAAUGCGAUAAGUAGUGUGAAUUGCAGAAUUCAGUGAAUCAUCGAAUCUUUGAACGCACAUUGCGCCCUUUGGUAUUCCAAAGGGCAUGCCUGUUCGAGCGUCAUUUGUACCCUCAAGCUUUGCUUGGUGUUGGGCGUCUUGUCUCUAGCUUUGCUGGAGACUCGCCUUAAAGUAAUUGGCAGCCGGCCUACUGGUUUCGGAGCGCAGCACAAGUCGCACUCUCUAUCAGCAAAGGUCUAGCAUCCAUUAAGCCUUUUUUUCAACUUUUGACCUCGGAUCAGGUAGGGAUACCCGCUGAACUUAAGCAUAUCAAAA
rnacentral:rRNA from 1 species